AUUGAACGCUGGCGGCAUGCCUUACACAUGCAAGUCGAACGGUAACAGGUCUUCGGAUGCUGACGAGUGGCGAACGGGUGAGUAAUACAUCGGAACGUGCCCGAUCGUGGGGGAUAACGAAGCGAAAGCUUUGCUAAUACCGCAUAAGAUCCAAGGAUGAAAGCAGGGGACCGCAAGGCCUUGCGCGAACGGAGCGGACGAUGGCAGAUUAGGUAGUUGGUGGGAUAAAAGCUUACCAAGCCGACGAGCUGUAGCUGGUCUGAGAGGACGACCAGCCACACUGGGACUGAGACACGGCCCAGACUCCUACGGGAGGCAGCAGUGGGGAAUUUUGGACAAUGGGCGAGAGCCUGAUCCAGCCAUGCCGCGUGCAGGAUGAAGGCCUUCGGGUUGUAAACUGCUUUUGUACGGAACGAAAAGACUCUGGUUAAUACCUGGGGUCCAUGACGGUACCGUAAGAAUAAGCACCGGCUAACUACGUGCCAGCAGCCGCGGUAA
rnacentral:rRNA from 1 species